UACGUAGGGUGCGAGCGUUGUCCGGAAUUAUUGGGCGUAAAGAGCUCGUAGGCGGUGUGUCACGUCGGCCGUGAAAACCUGGGGCUUAACUCUGGGCGUGCGGUCGAUACGGGCAUCACUAGAGUUCGGCAGGGGAGACUGGAAUUCCUGGUGUAGCGGUGAAAUGCGCAGAUAUCAGGAGGAACACCGGUGGCGAAGGCGGGUCUCUGGGCCGAUACUGACGCUGAGGCGCGAAAGCGUGGGGAGCAAACAGG
rnacentral:rRNA from 1 species